rnacentral:rRNA from 1 species
GACGAACGCUGGCGGCGUGCCUAAUACAUGCAAGUCGAGCGAAGUUUUUCUGGUGCUUGCACUAGAAAAACUUAGCGGCGAACGGGUGAGUAACACGUAAAGAACCUGCCUCAUAGACUGGGGCAACUAUUGGAAACGAUAGCUAAUACCGGAUAACAGCAUUAACUGCAUGGUUGAUGUUUAAAAGUUGGUUUUGCUAACACUAUGAGAUGGCUUUGCGGUGCAUUAGCUAGUUGGUGGGGUAAAGGCCUACCAAGGCGACGAUGCAUAGCCGACCUGAGAGGGUGAUCGGCCACACUGGGACUGAGACACGGCCCAGACUCCUACGGGAGGCAGCAGUAGGGAAUCUUCCGCAAUGGGCGAAAGCCUGACGGAGCAACGCCGCGUGAGUGAAGAAGGAUUUCGGUUCGUAAAGCUCUGUUGUUAGGGAAGAAUGAUUGUGUAGUAACGAGACACAGUAGAGACGGUACCUAACCAGAAAGCCACGGCUAACUACGUG